GCGCACUUGUUGAGUUUGGGAACUUUCAGAGGCUUGAACUUCUCACUUUGGACGCAGCGGAGCUCUCACAUCAUCAUCAUCAUCAGAUUCAGGCGACGUGGAUUUAUGCUGACUUUUUACGUGUAGGACUAUGUUUUGCUUUGUCGAAGUUGAUGUGGAUUGUCUUUAGUGUUUUCCGCGUUAGACGCACACAGCGUGCGCGAGUAAUAAAUAACAUAACUGUGAGGAUGUGGAUGCGCCUUUAAUGCAUAUACAGAUUCAUAUCUGAAGGAGAGUUAGUGUUUGUGGGGCUAUUGGGAUAUGGGACUAUUUAUGCACUACCAUUGGAUUUUAAAUGCUCUCUAAAGGGACACUCGGUGGUGCAGUGAAUGGAGAACAUCGCAGCUUUGCCAAGAAUAAACUUCUCGAUCAACUCCUCUUCAUACCUUGGCAGCUCAGAAGUUUCUUCAAUCCUCAAAAUGUCAAACCCAGCUUCCUGAGGAGAGCGUGGUUUUCAUUUGCUUUGAUGUUGGCCUUCCCCUUGUCUUUCUGCUUGUUAAUUUAAACCGUGGAAGACAAUCAGCGCUGGAGGAUGAAAAAUGUGAUAAACAUUGGAAAGAGGCUGGUUUGGGGUCAUGAUGCUCUCUGGCUGGAUGCUGAUAAUUCGCCAACAAAUGUGAUGGUCUCUCCUUGAAGAGUUCUGUGCUUAAAGCAAAAGUACUAAAAGACAUUCAUCUUCUUCUCUGUCUUCACAUUAAACCAGCUUGAGUGAGAUCCAAUUAAACCUGGC
rnacentral:lncRNA from 1 species